rnacentral:rRNA from 1 species
GAUGAACGCUGGCGGCGUGCCUAAUACAUGCAAGUCGAGCGAACAGACGAGGAGCUUGCUCCUCUGACGUUAGCGGCGGACGGGUGAGUAACACGUGGAUAACCUACCUAUAAGACUGGGAUAACUUCGGGAAACCGGAGCUAAUACCGGAUAAUAUAUUGAACCGCAUGGUUCAAUAGUGAAAGACGGUUUUGCUGUCACUUAUAGAUGGAUCCGCGCCGCAUUAGCUAGUUGGUAAGGUAACGGCUUACCAAGGCAACGAUGCGUAGCCGACCUGAUAGGGUGAUCGGCCGCACUGGAAGUGGGACACGGUCCAGACUCCUACGGGAGGCAGCAGUAGGGAAUCUUCCGCAAUGGGCGAAAGCCUGACGGAGCAACGCCGCGUGAGUGAUGAAGGUCUUCGGAUCGUAAAACUCUGUUAUUAGGGAAGAACCAAUGUGUAAGUAACUAUGCACGUCUUGACGGUACCUAAUCAGAAAGCCCCGGCUAACUACGUG